AUGGGAUCCGGAACAGUCUGCGCUCUUGAUUGAGCCAGUCCAGUCCUGGGUAUUUCCCACUGUUAAUCUGGCAGGAUGCUGAUAUCUGGAAGUACUGUAUGGAUGAAAGCAAGAUGGCAGCUGGACACUGAUAUUUUUCUCUUUGAAGAUCGAAGCAUUGAUGAAGUGUUUCUUGGCAUGAGACGACAGAAGACGUAUUUGCAGAAGUUGAACAGGUACCACCCUUCCGGAUGACAGGGGCUAAUGUAAACGGAAG